UUGUCUGGUUUUUUUUUUUUUUUUUUUUUUUUUUUGCAUAGCUUGAUCUUGGUCUUUCUUAUUCGUUCUAUCAUCCUAAUGGCCCAUUUGACUUUCCAUUACUGAUGAGUUAUCUUUGAAAAAUCAGUAUAAAAGGAAUAACUUAUUUCUGUUUUGGUUUUAGUACAUGGUUUCUUGUCUCUAGAGACGAAGCCUGCUGUCUUCUGCUGGGAUGGGACAGAGGUGCUGCCUUGCUAGAAUAAGUACGAGGCAGGGAAAGGAGCUGAGAAUCUAACAGUUUUUAAUAUAAUAUAAUUUAAUUUAUUUGUUAAACCUUAUGCUCAUAUACUUCUCUCCUGCUUCCGAAGUUACCUGGUGCUGUUGCUUUCAUGGCUUGUAAAUUCUGUCACAAAUCUAACCUCACUUCCCUUCAUAAUUUCUUAGAAUUCAGAUUUUUUUUGUCCCUGAAAAGCUAUUUAUGACCUUUUAUUAUUGUGAAGUUUCAUCUUGUGAACUCAGUCUUAUGAAUAUAACCAGGGGGAAAAUCUACUAUUGUCAUCUUGGAGCAUAGUGCUCCUGUAAUUGUAAUAAUAACUUACCUUCUUUAGCCAGAAAGCUGUUACCUCUAUUUUUUGAAAAUAUGACAAAUAUGACCUUUCCCAAUCUUGACUUGUCAGCCAUAAAGCCAUAUUGCUAAUUGACAGUGCUUGUUUGGUCUCGGGACUAUCCUACCUACUCGCACACUCUGCCUUAGCUAAAAUGUCUUACUACUUAUUUUGACCUUCACUUUUGAUAUUGAGAUUAGUAUUUAAGAUAAUAGAUAAUCAUCUGAAAAACAUCUGGAGAUCCAGGAAGCAAGAGAGGGAGGCUGGAGAUCACAGCACCAGUCUGCAGGAAUCCACAGGUAUCACACAAAUGGCUUAGUUAGUAACUCCAGACACUAGAGUUACACAUAUUAGUACUUGUGACUGUCAGGCCAGAUUGUAAGAGGGGACUUCUUAUUCUCCUUACAGAAGAGGAAACCAGGCUAUAGAAAUACCAAGAAGCUCCAGUGCAGCCAACGCGGCUCAGCAGGAAGCAAGGUGUGAAGAGCAAACACAACAGUCCUGCUGCAGAGCUCACACCCCUGAGCCUUUUGCACCGUGUGCCCUGUGCCAUGGGGAGGCUUUGGUUGGUAGUUAGGAAAGGUUUAAAUUUGCUCCUGUGAUGUAGUCUGAUCAGCCUUACUGUCUGUUGUCAUUUAUUUCCUUAGACAUUACAUAUCAUAUAAUCUGCAAACUCAAAAUGGAAUUUUGAUUUUCUUGAUGUAUACUAAGGAGUUGUUGCCUCAGACUUUUCUGACACACCUUAAAAGAUUUGCCUUCUUGUCUGCUUAUCAAGGGUAUAUUUCUGUGGUCUUCUGCAGCUGAGCUGCCAUUGAUUUAAGGUUUCUAAACCUACUUUCUCCGGAUACUGUGAGUUUAUGGUAGCACUCUGUCAAAAUGGGAGCUCUAGAAAAUGUUUCUCUCUCAGAUACAGUCAAAUAGUAAUUAUCUUGAAAGAGAAUUAUUCAUAUUUUGGUAUAUUUGGAAGAGGUAUUUAAUUCCGAACUUAUUAAAUAAUUAGCCGUUUAGUCUUUGAAAACAUAACAUCCCUUUUGAUACAAUUUUGAAGAAGAAAGUCUUAAAGAUAGAUAUCUGUUUAGUUCACAUCCUGCAUUAUGAUAUAAAUAAAUAACCAGCUGUAUAGAACGUACCUCAAUUCACUCUGUAUCCUUUAAUUACUUUAUUUAUUUACUUUAGUUUAUGCCUGAAAAGGAUCAGAUUUGUUACUUUAUUGUUAUUAAAUUUGAACAGAUUAAAAAUAGUUAUACUCAGCAUACAUGUAUAGUGAUAUAUCUUGAAUAUAUACAUUUGCUUGACUUGGUCAAUAAAAAAGUAUUGAGCCAUUCAAGUGAUUAUAUAGUUAUUUUAAUAAAUCUAGAAAUCAGAUUUUAAACAUUUUGUGUAUUUGUUUUUAAACUUUUUUAUUUCUUUGAAUGUGAGUGCAGUUUUCUUGUGUGCUGCAGUGGCUCACUCUUGGACGGGUGCUGCUGAGGACGCUCUGAGCUGGAAUUCACCUUCUGGGCUUCAGUGUCCUGUUUUUAAGUCUAUGCUCUCCAAUCAAGACUGAAGUGUUUUAUAAUUCAUGUCUUCUAGUUGUAGCCAUUGUCAGCGUUUCAUAUAACAUUAGCUUCUGAAAGGUGACGUACAAGUGUUGACAUAAUAGUUCUUUGGAAGAGUGUGACUGGAAAAAUGUAACUGUUAAGGUCUUUAUGAUGUCAUUUAAAACACAAAUCUUGGGAGGAAUAAUGGAGGUGUUAGUCCUGGUCAUGAAGUUCCCUGGUUGGCUUCAUCUGGAAGCUAAAAUGGCCCUAAAUUCACAGGCAUGUUCCAGUUCGUGUUGGGUGUUAGAAAGCUGCUCCUUUGUGGAGAAGGCCGCUCCCCCGGGCUGCCUGUACUUGUUUUCAUUCUUUAUCCUAUUGUAAUUGCUGGUAGUUACUGUUCUAGCACACAGCCUUUCCAUUCAUGGCCAUUGGACCAAUGGGGUUGUAUCAACAGUAUUCUCAGUUCAAAACUUUUUAAUAGAGCCCACCCACUUGAGCUUUUUCUCUUUUAAUUUAAUGAAAAGUGACUUUCCUGAAUUUGAAGACACUGUAAGAACCUUCUCUACUUGGAAUUAGAAUUGUCAGUACAAAAUUAAAAACAUAAACCCAAAGUAUUGGUAAGAAUCUAUGCCUGCCUAUUUUCCUUCUGCUGAUGAAUUUUUAAUUUUUUAAAUUAAAAUAUUGAAUUGAAGGGACUACAUCCCAGACAAAGUGACUCCUAAAUUGCUUGUGAAAGAGUAAUUCUCUAAGUGUUACACAUCUGGCUUUGAUUGAGGCCUUUAUAAAUUUCCUUUCAAUGGGUUUUAAAAAAUGACUUAAAUGUUUUUGAAGAAACUGUCUAAUUCCAAAGUAGAUAUGCUUUAAAAUUGAAAAUAUGGGCAAUUAAGUUUUUAGGGAACGUGGAUUAUUUAGAAGUCUCAAUCCCCGCCCCCUCCCCUGCAUUCAUGAGUGCCCUGCUCGCUGAGGUCACAUUAACCAUGGCUGUGGGGCUCUCUAGGCUUCUUUUGUUUCUUUUUGGUAACACUUUUGUCUUUCUGUUUUCUCCUAGGUAUGAAGUAGGCUAAGGGUUGUUUGUAUACUGUGAAUUGAUUAGGUUAUGAUUCAUAAAUUACUGAGAAUUUUAUUUCUUGAUUGAUAAACUGAAGAGAACUAUAUAUCUAAAUGGCAAUUGCUUACCUACAUUGUAGAAGACAAAGUAGAGAGAGAAGAGAUAAAAUAGGGAACAGAAAUGUGAGAAUUGGAGAGAUUUGCCUCUCCCAAGCCUGUUAUAUAUUACUUCCUGUUUUAAUCUAUUUGUUUUUACUUUUUCUCAUUAAAAUUUUAAGUGCAGAAAAUGGGCAUUACUUAUUCUGUCUUUGAAACUCCCAGAUUCCAACAAUGUGAACGCAGUUAUAAGAGAUUAGCUGCUUUGUGUUUUAGCCUUUGCAAGUAUAGCUCUCAAGAUUUUUAUAAAAUAAGUAAACAAAGAUGAUAUAGCCCUGGAAUCAUGCCACAAGUUCAUACUUUUGCACUACGGACAUCGAGUCUUUAAUUUGGAAUCAGUGGGUCAGUCCCCACCCUACCUGGUUCAUGUACACACCUGUAUGUAUGUAUGUACACAUACUAUAUAAUGCAAUCAAUGUGUUUUUCUAGUAUAGUUGUUUUUAAAUUGACUUUUGGCUUCUUCCCUCUCUCAUCAUAUAAUGAAGAGUAAAAUACCAACCCACCAUUCCAAAUUUAGAUACGAUGCCAUGUCUGCAUUACUGAUACUCAGGUCCUAAGGACUUAGAAACUCUUUAGUCAUCAAACAGCUUUCUCUGAGAUAUAUUGUCUCAUACAAACAUCACAAGAGAACAUAUAUUUGGGAAAAAACUUUCAGAAAGGAUUGAAGCAUUACUUUUUUUUUUUGUUUGUUUUUUGUUUUUUUGUUUUUUCGAGACAGGGUUUCUCUGUAUAGCCCCAGCUGUCCUGGAACCACUUUGUAGACCAGGCUGGCCUCGAAAAGCACUACUUUCUUGAUUUUGCUUUGUGAUAAGAAAAAAAAAAAAACCUAUAAAGCUUUAUCUGUAAUUCUCUUUCUCAAUACAAGCUUAAAACAAACAAACAAACAAACAAACAAAACAGGAACUACCACCACCACCAAACUAAAAAUCUAGUUGGGACUGGAAAGAUGUACUUAAGAGCAUUUGUUGUCUUGCAAAGGACCCAAGUGUGGCUCCCAGCAGCCACAUGGUAACUCGUAGUCAUCCAUAACUCCAGAUCCAGGGCAUCCAGUAUUCUCUGCUGAUUUCUCUGGGAAUGAGACACACACAGUGCUCAGGUAACAUUGCAGUCAAAGCACUCAAACUCAUAAUGAAAAAUAAAGAAAAAGAACUUGUUUUGAGAGAUGCCUCAGUAGUGGGUGAAGAGCACAUGUUGUUCUUUCAGAGGACCUAGGUUCGAUUCCCAGGGCCCACAUAGCUGCUUCAUGUCUCAUGCUUUCCCAGAGCCUCUCAUACUUUUAACCUUUACAAUGAGGUAAAGAAAAGACACCCCAGGAGGAAAUUUGUUCCAAAGCUGGGAAGAUUAAACCUCAAAUCAUGACUUUUGAGAUUUUAGUUAGGAGCCAUUUGAUACGUAACUCACAGCCCCUUUUCCACUUGUUGUAAUUGAAUUACUGUAUUAGUUUUAGAAUGGCUGUAACAAAGUCCCACAAAAGAGCUAGUUUAAAUAAUGGAUGUCUUAAGGUUUUUUUUUUUUUUUUAUUGCUGUGAAGAGACACCAUGACCAAAGCAACUCUUACGAAGAAAACAUUUAAAUGGUGUUGGCUUACAGUUUCAGAGGUUCAGUCCAUUAUCGUCAUGGUGGGAAGCAUGGCAGCAUCUAGUCAGACAGUGCUGGAGAAGGAGCUGAGGGUUCUACAUCUUGAUCUGCAGGUAGCAGAAGGAGAUUAUGUUCUACACUGGGUGGCUUGAGCAUAGAAGACCCCAAAGCCUGCCUUCUCCAGUGACACAUCUUCUCCAACAAGGCCUCACCUACUCCCAACAAAGCCAUACCCACUUCAGCAAGGCUAUACCUACUCUAACAAGGAUACACAUCCUAAUAGUGCCACUCCUCAUGGGCCAAGCAUAUAAACACAUGCAUGAUCUAUGGGGCCAUACCUAUUCAAACCACCACAGUGGCAUACUAUGUUGUCUCAAAGUCCUGAAAGCUACAAGUAUAAAAACUGUAGUCUGGCUGGCUUCUUGAGGGUUCUAAGGGAAGUUUCCCCAGGCCUCUCGCUGUGCCUGCUGCAUGACUGCCUGCUCCUCACGACUGUCAUUGUCUUCCCUUUUCAGAUGUUCCUGUCCAUUGUUUUUCACCUUUUAAAACGAUACCAGUCCCACUCACUUUGUGCUGUACUGUGUUUUCUGUCAAUGUGACAAAUCUAGAGUCAUCUGAGAGAAGGGAACCUCCACUGAGAAAAUGCUUCCAUAAGAUUGUUCUGUAGGCAAUCCUGCACAGCAUUUUCUUAAUUAGUGAUUGAUGGGGAAUAGCCCAGCCCAUUGUGGGCGCUGCCAUCCCUAGGCUAGUGGUCCUGUGUUCUCUAUAAGAACGCAGGCUGAGGAAAUCAUGCGAAGCAAGCUAGUAAACAGCACUUCUCCAUGGCCCUUGCAUCAUCUCCUGCCUUCAGAUUCCUACCUUGCUUUGAGUUCCUGUCCUAACUGAUUUUGAUGGUGAACUCUGAGUGAAAUAAACUCUUUCCUCCUCAAGUUGCUUUGGUCAUGGUGUUUCAUCACAGCAACAGGAGCCCUAGCUAAGACAGGUGCCAUUGGUAUUUUAAUAUGCUCCAGUUUUAAAUAAUAUCCUUUCUUACUCAUCUUAUUCCAAACAAAUUCUCUUUCUAAGUUGCUGGAUCCCGGGACUCUAACAUAUCAUCUGUCUUUUAUAUUGGGAGAACACAGAGUAACCAGUGACAUAUCAUCUUCAAGUAAAGGAAGAAUCACUGAAGAUGGGGGUUUUCUUUCCAAGAACUUAAUAGAAACUCUUCUCUUGAGUCUUGCUACUCUCUUACCCCCCAGGGCAAAUUAAUUUCAUUAUAGUGGAAGAAUUUUCUUCCUUUCCUUAUUCUUCUGUCCCUUUCUUUCCUUCCCUUCCCCUUUUUCUUGCUUCCUUUUUUCCCCUUUCCUUUCCUUUCCUUUCCUUUCCUUUCCUUUCCUUUCCUUUCCUUUCCUUUCCUUUCCUUUCCUUUCCUUUUUUUUUUUUAAACAGAACGUAUGUUCUAUGCAUUAGGGUCAAAGAAUUACCUAAUGAUUACUUGUGGAAAUAUUGAGAUUUAUGACUUUGUGUUCCUGAAAUAUUUUUAAGUUAGAACAUAUAAAAUUAAUUGUGAACUUAGCACUUUUUCUCAAAAUUAGUCUGUGUGUCACCUCAUACUCUAACAGUUCUCCUAAGCAUUAAAAAUGUUCCCUUCAUCAGAGGAUGGCAGAGUCUCUGAAGGAACGCCUGUUUCAUAGACCACAGAGCAGAUGUUUUGUUAAGUUUAAACAAGUAGUGAGACCCGGAGCGGGAGGGAGGGUGCAAGGAUAAAACUUAGUACUGCUCCCCUGCUGCCAGAAAGGAAGAGGCAGUUUCCGUGGUAAAGCCAGCUCUGGUCCAGUAGCAGUCAGCCUCGUUCUGUACACAAUGCCAGGGCAGGACAGUGACUGACCUUGAAGACAAUUUUAAUUCUGGGAGCGUGCAGAAGUCUUAGCUCCGUAUAUGUUUGGCUUCAAUUACUUAUUUAAGCUCAAAAUUGAAUGCAUGAUUUUUGGCUUAAUUUCCCUUUAACCCAAGAUACCGUAAGAUUGCACUCAUAUACCAGGAGUCUUGUUUUCAUCCAGGCCCCAGCUAAUCGACUGACGUCAAGCAAAUAAUCUUACUUUCCAGGCUUUGUUAACGCAGUAGAGUGUGGGUGACAGUUAAGCAAUAGAACGUAAGCAUCCUGUGGAGUAAUACCCUUUUCUAGAUAGUUAAGGAUCAAAAUUGAGAGUAAAGUUCUUCAUUCUUGGAGAUGCUUAGAAAGUUGGAGAUCUGCUAUAUGUGAAUGCACAUGUAGCUGCAUUCUAUGAGUGUUAUGGAAAUAAUUAUCUAUAGCUGCAGUUUUCAACCUGUGGGGUGUGACUCCUUUGGGGGUCUCAUAUCCAAUAUCCUGCAUAUCAGAUAUUACAUUAUGAUUUAUGUCAGCAAAAUUACAGUUAUAAAGUAGCAACAAAAGAUUUUAUUGAAAGGACCCAGAUGUAGCUAUCUCUUGUGAGACUAUGCCGGGGCCUAGCAAACACAGAAGUGGAUGCUCACAGUCAGCUAAUGGAUGGAUCACAGGGCUCCCAAUGGAGGAGCUAGAUAAAGAACCCAAGGAGCUAAAGGGAUCUGCAACCCUAUAGGUGGAACAACAUUAUGAACUAACCAGUACCCCAGAGCUCUUGACUCUAGCUGCAUAUGUAACAAAAGAUGGCCUAGUCGGCCAUCACUGGAAAGAGAGGCCCAUAAACUUUGUAUGCCCCAGUACAGGGGAACGCCAGGGCCAAAAAGGGGGAGUGGGUGGGUAGGGGAGUGGGGGUGGGUGGGUAUGGGGGACUUUUGGUAUAGCAUUGGAAAUGUAAAUGAGCUAAAUACCUAAUAAAAAAUGGAAAAAAAAAAAAGAAAAGAAAAGUAGUGGAAUAUAGUAAAAUCAUUGUAGUCUUCCAAAUAAAACAAGCAUGGAAGAAAAAAUUGGAGUUGUAUGUAAGAGAAAAUAAAGACUCACCUGUAAAUCUUUGAAGAAAUACAAAAAAAAAAAAAAAGUAGCAACAAAAUGAUUUUAUGGUUUGGAGCCACUGUAACCUGAAAAACUGUAGUAAAGGGUCACAGAAUUAAGAAGAUUGAGGAAAUAACUUGGAAAAUUAUUCAGUUUAGGGUUGAAAGAAUACUGGGAAGCUUGCUAGUUGUGCAUGGGUGAGGGAAAGGUUUAGCAGAAAUCCCAGUUGUUCAGUAUUGUUUGUUUGUAAGGUUUUUCUUAAAUUGUAACAUGCAUUCAUCAAGAAUGUCAGCUUUUGACCUGUUCACAUAAAAAUAUCUUAUUACUUUUAAGUUUUGCCUGACACCUAUGUUUAUAGUCAAGCAAUCAAAGAUUUCUUUUUGAGUUUGCAAUAGAAAAGUCAGGAAUAAACAAGCGCAGCUUUAAAAUAGACUUAUACAAAUGUGUGUAGGGCAAAGGUUUAAAGUAAUUGUUUUGCGUAAUUAACUGAUGUCUAAUUAGGUUUGGUUUUUAAACUCCAAAGUAUGUAUUUAUUAAUUAGGUCUUUCAACUUGGAAAGAUCAGUUAUUUUAUGUCAGUUAUUUUAGAAACUUUGUUUAGAAUAAAAUAUCUUCAUCUAUCUACACACACACACACACACACACACACACACACACACACACACCACAUCUCUAUAUAAAUAUAAAGCCACUGCUUUCAAUAGUAAAGUACUUUUAUAAAGUACAUAGUGUCCCUUUUCCUUGUGAAUUACAAUUUCUUAGGGUUCAGUUAUGCUUUUUGCUUUUUAAUCAUUUUAUGAUGUUUUUAAAGAUUAUUAACUCAUUAGAUGACUUUUAAAAGAUCACAUAUCUUACUAGAUUAAUAUAAAUUGAUGGAUUAUAAAAGUGUUGAAUAUAUUUACCAAAUUUUCCCAAGGAAACCAACACAAGACUCUCUCUCUCUCUCUCUCUCUCUCUAUAUAUAUAUAUAUAUACACACAUGCCUUGUUUAUUCUCUCUCUUUCUCUCCUCCUGUUCCUCCCUCUCUCUCUCUCUGUCUCACACACACACACACACACACACACACACAACCACUAAUGUAAUGGCUGGCUGGUAGAAUUGGUGGGUAAAUAAGCAACUAACUCACAUUUUUAAUUUUUGUGUAUGUAUACAUAUAGGUGAUAUGUAUAUAUUUAAUCUAUUUUGAAUAAUUUAAAAAAGUUUUCUAAGAUAUGUGCUACAAAAUACACAGUCACACACACACACACACACAUACACACACACCUCUAUAGCCAAAUACAUUUGGAAAUGUGGCAUGUUUAUAUAAAAAAAAUCCUUAAUGUAUUAGCUCAUUAAAAUUUUUGAGAAAAGAAACAAAUUUAGAUGUAGUCUAGCAUUUUCAAAUGUAUAUAAGAAAUGUAUAAUUCUCUCUGUCUCUGUAUAUACACUACACCUGCUUUUAGAUGUAUAAAAACAUGACUAUAUAUAGUGGUUUUUCAUUUGAUCAAGUGGUAGAGCUGAUUGCUACAGCAAGAAGCAGACGUGUUUGACGCUGCUUUCGUAAUCGAUUAUAGAGGAGCAGUAAAUACAGAUUGAACGAAAUGCCACGUUGGCUGUUUGAAUGCGUGGAUACUACGAGUCCCAGUGCUGCAGUGGACAGCUGUAUUCUGUUUCCCUGGGUCUCUGGGUAGCUCUUGCCUGGCCUGUGCACUGCCUUACUGUUUCUGCCCAAUUUCUCCAGCCUCUGCGUCUUCGUUUUCAUGCCCAAAGAACUUCAGCAGCUGAAAAGCUUAGUUUAGAAACUCAGCACUUACUCACUUUAGACUUUAAACUGUUCAGUUCUGUUUGGUGGAUUUAUUAUAUGAGGAAGUGUCAUGAGGAAACAAGUUAUUCGGCAUCAAAUUUUGCGUCUUGAAUUACAAAGGAACCAUUUAAAAUCAAAUAGAAAGAACUUGGGUUUUGUUUGGCUUUUCUCUUUUAAGAGAAAUUAUAAGGAAGACAAAUCGAGUGAUGCCUACUAAUAGAAAAACAAUCUCAAUGACUUCAAGUUUAACCACCAACUGCAAGAGAAUGAAAUUGAAUUUAAACAUUUGAAUUUAAACAGUUAGUUUUAGCUUUUCUCUCUGGAAAGGGAUGAUUGUAUUUCCCCUUGAGCCUUCCCUGACACAGUGGUAGCCGGUCUUCUAGAGUGACCAUGCAAUUGCUACAUUUCUGUCUGUUUGAUGGCCAUUAAAAUUAUUGCUCAGGGUGCUUGAGAGUUUUCUUGGUUGCUGGUGUUAAACCCAUGUUCUACCAUGGUUCCGUAUAUGUAUAUGUAUAUGUAUAUGUACAUUUUUUUUUUUUUUUUUUUGUCUAGCUUCAUAAACUGGGUUGGGUAGGUUUUUGGUGGAUGGGGAAGCCGUAGUUUGCCUGAAACUGGAACCCUGGACCCGGACAUCCCAGGCCUUAUCAGGCCUUCCAUGUAGGGCUGAGUUUCCUUUUUUUUUUUUUUCCCAUUAUACAUGGAAUGCACUACCUGUGCCUUGUGAAGAAUGAUGGAAGGGACGGUCAGCCUGGCUAGGGAUUAGUCAGGCCCGUUGUAUUUGCCACCAUUCUCUCACUGUCACUCUCUGGUCUCCAUUAGAGUCUGAAGCUUUCAUAGUUCCAGAGAUUAUAGUUGCAACUCUUCAGUUCUGAUUGAACUAUUUUCAUAAUGUGGUUUGCUCAUCUAUUUAUUAAUAUGUCCAGAAUAUUUACCAUAAUAUAAUUAUUCACUUAACCAUAGUGUACCAGAUUUUAUGAUCUAUAAUUCUCCCAACUCCAAAGGGUAGCUCUAGUUUAAUUUCACAGAUAAGAGAUAGUUUUCAUGCAAUGCAAAUCUGUACAUAUAUGGAUAAUUUGUUCUUUUUAUGGAAUCAUCUGUAAUUCAUCUUUUUAAAAUAAAUUUAAAGACUUUUGAGUAGUUCAGUCCUUUUUGUUUGUUUGUUUGUUUGUUUGUUUUUUUUCAAGACGGGGUUUCUCUGUAUAACCCUGGCUGUCCUGGAACUCAUUCUAUAGACCAGGCUGGCCUUGAACUCAGAAAUCCUCCUGCCCCUACCUCCCAAGUGCUGGGAUUAAAGGCGUGUGCCACCACUGCCCUGCUCAGUCUUUUAAAUAGCAUUUUAAAUAAUGCUUUUAUUAAUUCUUUGAGAAUUUCAUACAAUAAAUUCGAUUAUAUUCACCCCUCCCCCCAACUUUUCUAGGUCUUUCCCACUGCCCAUCCUAUUCAUUCAUUCUCUCUCCUGCUUCUCUCUCCUUCUACCCUCUUCCUCCCUCUCUCCUUCCUUCCCCCUCCCUCCCUCCCUCCCUCCGUCCUCCCUCCCUCCCUCUCUGUGCUCUCUGAACACUAUGGAGUCCAACUGUGUUUGCUGCCUUCCAGGUCUGCCCUGAAUUGAGGCUUUCCCUAAGGCCUUGGUGUUAUUAUCUGUUCCCACCCUCUUUCCUCUUCCUUCCCCCCCCCCCCGCCAUAUCUCACUCCAUUUACUCUUUCUUGCCCUCCCCACCCCCUUAUAAUAUCCUAUUUCCCGCUUCUGGAAGGGUUUCCUCCUUCCCAUUGGCCCUUUACUAGUUAACUAGCCUGUGAAACACAUCUGCUAUAACAGAAAAUAGGGGUUUGGUCUCCUUAUUGAUCUAGGUUCCUCACUCAGGAAGCCCGUUCCCAGUCUGGACCGCUUACCUGCAGAUAUCCUUUAUUUCUCUAACUGCAAGAGUAGUGGUGCUCUUAACUGCUGGCUAUCCUUCCAGCCCUUCCAGCCCCAGUCACAUUUCCUUAUCUAUCUAAAUAUCUAUCUAUCUAUCUAUCUAUCUAUCUAUCUAUCUAUCUAUCUAUCUAUCUAUCUUCUAUCCUCCCUAUCUCCCCUCCCUAUCUAUCUCCCUUAUCUGUCUGUCUGUCCAUUCGUCAUCUGUCUGUCCAUUCGUCCAUCUGUCCGUCCGUACAUCCAUCCAUCCGUCCACUAUCUACUAUCUGUAGAUAAUAGUGAUAGAGAGUGAUGGAAGACAGCCCUGUUCAUCACUCAUCUUUUAAGUCUUCCUGGUCCUGUUUCACUCAUCUAUGUGUUCUGUUUGUUGAAUUAAUAAUUUUAGCCUCUUGUUGUGUGUGUGUGUGUUUUGUCUAAGAAGUAACCCAGUCAGUGGGGAAGGAUCUUACUCAGGCUUAAGAACUAACCUCUUUUAUGUGCCUCUUGCUGUCUUUCAGUCCUGUGAGCUGUCACAGGUAAAGAUUGCUGAGCUUAUAGAUGGUGUGGUGCUGGAGUAAAUCUCUCUCCAGGGUAAAAGUAGUAGGUUGCAUCAGCUGAUCUAGGGGUUCCUGGCAAAUUUUUAGAGUUUUAGCAAAAUUUUAUUUUACUUAUUUAUUUUUUAUGAGAGGAUUGAAGAAUGGCUACUCAAAGACACUUGAUUUUUGCAGUAAUGAUCACUUGAUCUUCCAUUAUACUCAGCAGUUGUUUAUUUGGACGUUAGCAUUGGUUUUUCUGUUUUGAUCUCAGUUCUUCUCAAGGUAAUACUUUAUACAGUCAUGGUAAGGUCUUUGUACUUGAGGCCAGGCGCUAUAUUAGUUUAGCUGGCUAAACCAAUGGACAUUGGUGUCCAUAGCUGAAAUGUUGGGUAAAAUUAAUAUCAAUUGCGGUUUUCUACCCGGCCCUUGAUCAUUCAGUACCCAGAUAAAAGACACAAAACCUUUACAUUAUAAUAUCCCUUAACAGCGUUAGAUAUCCGCCCUCUAAGCUAUUGGUAUCUACUUCCCUAUCAAAUCCCACGUUAUAACUUGCUAUGUUCCUCCUAGGCACUUUUACUUCAAUUGGCCAGCCCUCAUGGCCAUGUUUUCAUCCCCGAUCCCAUGGUGUCUUCCUCUCUAUUCACUCUCCUCCUCUUCCUGUUCUGUUCCUCCUCUUCUUCCUCCUCCUGCUUCCUCCUCUUCCUCCUCUUCUUCCUUUUCCUCCUCCUCCUUCUCCUUCUCCACCUGGCAACUCAAAACCUGCCUAUCUUUAAUCCCUCCAGUAAUUGGCUGUAGCCAUUUUUAUUUAAGCAGUAGUUUUAAUUUAAGGAACAAGGUUUGCACAACAAAAAAGCUGGUAAACAAGAUAAUUCACUUGUAGGCCUAGACCCUCUGUGUAGAAUUUAGCAUUAACAUACAUAGCAACAGAGCAAACCUCAACACCAAACUUAGUGUGGGCUGUUCCUGUGCCCAGUGGUAGUCUUUUCUCUGGCAUGCAGUACUUCUUUGUUUCACUUUCAAACUUUCCUGGCAGAGUAAGGUUAUAAAGGUUGUUGGACUCUGUUUUGAAGAAUUAGCCCCCUUUUCUCACAAAAAUAAAAUCCAGCUGUGGAUCUUAGCAGCUGCAUGCACCGUUUGAGUGGAUGCCUCUUGCUCUCUUUGCUGGCUUGUUUUGGUCAAUCUGGCACAAACUAGAAUUGCCAUGGAAGAAGGAACCUCACCUGAGGAAUUGUCUCCCUCUGCUUGGUUUGCUGCUAUCUCUGGGGGGCAUUUUCUUGAUUAAUGAUUGAUAAGGAAGGGCCCAGCCCUGGGAGGUGGUCAUGGGUGUGGAAGACAGGAAGCUGAGCAGGUGUGGAGAGCACCUUUAGCAGCACUCUUCUAUGGUUCCACCCUCUGCUCCCGAUGAGUGCCUGCCCUGAUGCCUUCAGUGGAGGCCUGCAAUCUAUCCUCCAGUUGGCUGGCGACUGUUUUAUCAGAGCAACAGAAAGAACUGAAGUUCCUGUUCACUGUUGCCAUAGUGCUCUUCCUGUUGAUGAAAGCAUUGUUAAACAGGGCAGUUUUGGCCUUCUUGUACUUUUUAUAGAUGGGUUGGACCAUUGUUUUUAAAACUGGUGUAAAUCAAGAAAUUUAGAAAUAGGUGAAAUGCCCACAUUUAGAACUAUUCAUUGGGUGCUUAUUGAAUAUUGCAGACUGCAUUUGUUGCUUUGUGCAAUAUGGAAGAUGAAGCUUACCUUGCCACAAUCUUACCUUUUUAACUAUAAUGUGAUUUCUGUUGGUGUGUUAUUAAUACAUUAAGAUUAUUUUCUUCAUUCAUUCAUACUCUACUAGUGAUUACCUGAUUAAUUUUAAUGACUACUUAUAUUUUCUAGUAUCUUUAGUAUUUGAGAAAAAAGUAUAUUAAAAAUGAAAUGCUACAAAAAUUAGUUUGAAUAAUAAAACAAUGUAAAGACUAAUUUUGUAAAAACUGUUUUUGAAAUUUUUAUUGAUAAUUAAUUUUGAAAAAAAAUUUAUUUAUUUGUUUUACGUACACGGUAGCUGUCUUCAGACACACCAGAAGAGAGCACCAGAUCCCAUUACAGAUGGUUGUGAGCCACCAUGUGGUUGCUGAGAUUUGAACUCAGGACCUCUAGAAGAGCAGCUAGUUCACUUAACCGCUGAGUCAUCUCUCUAGCCCACAAAUUAAAAUUUUAUACAAUAUAUCCUAAUCAUAGGUUCCCUUCCUCCAAUUCUCCCCAAAUCUUCCCCACCUUCCCAUCCAUCCAUAUCCAUACCCUUUCUUUCUUUCUCUUUAGAAAACCAACAUGUAAACAAAGCAAACAAAACUAGGAAAAAAAAACAAAGAAAAAAACACAAGAAACACAUAAGUGCACAUGCAUGCACACAUGCAUACACACACACAACCUCUGAAGUCAUAAGAUUGGAAACUGUACAAGCAAAAGACCAUUAAGACAAAAAACCAAACCAAAUCAAACCAAACCAAAGUGAUAUGAGGCAAAAAUCUAUAAAACACCUAUGAGUGUUUUUUGUGUUGAGCAUCUACUGCUGAGCGUGAGUGUGGUUACACAGUGAGAUCUGGGACGCUGUCUGACUCGAACCUGUGCUGAGGCAAUGCAUGCUUCCACAUAUUGUGGGAGUUCAUAUGUGUGUUAAUCCUGUUAUCAGGAAGACACAAUUUUCUUGGGGUGAUCCAUCACCUCUGGUACAAUCUUUCUGUCCCCUCUUCUGGAAAUCUCCCUGAUUCAUGAGGGAGGAGGCUUGAUAAAGAUAUCUUUUAGUACUGCUGUUUCAAAGUCUCUCUCUGGAUAUUUGUCCAGUUGAGGGUCUCUGUGUUAGUUACCAUCUACUGCAGGAGGACGCUUCUCUGAUGAGGGCUGAGUGAGGCACCGAUCUAUGGGUAUAGCAAAAUGUAGUUAGAAGUCAUUUUAUUGCUAUGUUCCUGUAGCAGAACAAUAGUAUUUUGUUUUCCUCUGGACCCAUGACCUAUCUAGUCUCAGGUUCUUGAUCACCAGCACAGUGUUAGGCAUGGGCUCUGUUUUAUGGAAUGGGCCUUACAUCCAAGCACACAGUGGUUGAUCACUCCCCUAACAACUGCACCAUUAUUGCACUAGCAUGUCAUGCAGGCAGGUCACCACUGCAGAUCUCAGGGUGUAUAGCAGGGUCUGUGGUUUCUUUCCCCCCUGCUGUUGGACGGACUAUUUUCUAGUACCAUGAACCUUAUUCAGGAGGUGUAAAGGCCCUAAAUAGGCAUCAGCUCAACUCUGCUGUGGUCAAUGAGGCAUGCUAAUGUUGUCUUCAGCAAUAAGGCCUUACUUACUGUUGUUUGUGAAAAGCAAUCAGCAGCAUUGGCAACAACCUGAAAUGUUUGAGAUUUUCCAUGGAGGCCCUUUUUGAUCAAUAACUUGUUUAGAUGGAACCCAUUCCUGGCACUAGUUUUAAUUUGGUAGUGAAAAGAUGAUCUAGUUUGAGCAUUGUCUUCCCUGUUCUUGGUGACUCCAUUUAGAUUUCUUUCACACACACACACACACACACACACACACACACACACACAAUGUAUAUUUAAAAUAUAUAACAUAUAUAGUAUAUAUAGUAUAUAUAUGAAGCUUCUACAGUGUUGCUAUUUUAUAUGAUAAAAUCUUAGAGAAAUAGUUUUACUUAAGGGCUAAUCAUUGGGGUUACAUUUUGCACCAUUGGCAUUUACUCAGUAUGUUGGUGUGUGUGUGUGUGUGUGUGUGUGUGCGUGUGAGAGAGAGAGAGAGAGAGAGAGAGAGCAUGCACAUGUGUACAUGAGUGCACAUAUAUGCAUGUGCCUAUAUGUGUAGAAGCCAGAAGACAAACUUGGGUGCCAUUCCUAAAGCACCAUUUUCCCCCUCCCCUCCCCUCCCCUCCCCUCCCCUCCCCUCACUGUUGACACAGGGACUCUCCUUGCCUGGAUCUUGUCAUGCUGUCAUGUCUAUUAGCAUGGCCACUGAGCUCCAGGGACCAUGUAGAUUCCUGUGUAUGAUCAACUUUGAAACGUUUAAACUUGUGUUUAGAUUCAUCUGUUUUGCAUGCGCUUCUCUUUGCUCACCCACUGUUUGUCAAAGGUUGUCUUUGCCUUAUUUUGUUGCCUUUGUUCCUAGCCAGAGAUCAUAAUCAGAGACAGGGCUUCCUCACGUUCUUUCUCAUUGAAAACCUUCAUCAGGAUUUUAUACUUUUUCCAUAUAAGUCCUGGACAUAUUUUGUUGGAGUGUUAUCUGAAGUAUUUCAGCUUUUGAAUGCUAAUGUAAAUGGCUUUCACUUUUAAUUUAAAAUUUUUCUUGUUUAUUGCUAGUCCACAGGAAAUCAUUUGCUCUUUGAUAACUAACUUUGUACUCUCCCAAUACUAAUAAGCACUGUGUUUACUUACUAGAUGCAUCAGGUUUUCCUUUGGUCUAUUUGGUAUGACUUUAUAGGUAACCAUGUUAUCUGAUGACAAAGACACUUUGAUUAGUUUCUGGUCUACUUUAAAUUCAUAUUCUUGGUGUAGUGCACUAGCGAGGAGGUCUAAUACAGGUUUCUUAGCAUUGAGAAUGACGUUAAAGGAUAGAGAGGCUGUUCAGUGAGUAAGGGCACUUUUGUGCAAUGUGAGUGUCUUAGUUACUUUUCUACUGCUAUAAAAAGACUCUGUUACAAAGACAAUUUAGAAAAGAAAGCAUUAAUUUGGGGCCUCACAGUUCAGAAGGGUGGAAUCCAUGAGCAUCAUGGCCGGGGGCAUGAGGUCAGGCAGGCAAGCACUAGAGCAGUAGCGAAGCGUUUACAUCUAAUCCACAGGCAGAAGGUAGAAAGAAAGGAUGAGGGUAGGGGGUGGGCUAACUGGGAAUGGUUUGGGCUUUUGAAUCCCGAAAAAAGCCCGUAUUUAGUGACACCCCUUCCCCAAGGAGACCACACCUCCUAGUCCUUUACAAACAUUUCUACUUAACUGUGGACCAAGGAUUCAAAUGCACACAUGGGGGCAUUCUUGUUCAGGUGGACUGAGUUUGACAUCUGACCCCAGUACUCACUACAUGAAAAACAAACCUGCCCGUGUGGUCCUAUGUGUUGGCAGUUCUCAUGCUGGAAGAUGGGGACAGAAACAUCCUGGAACUUGCUGACCAGUCACCCUCACCUAUUCGGCAUAUCAGACAGAAAGUGACCCUGUCUCAAAAAAACAAAAAACAAAACGAAAAAAAAAAAAAGCAAGUGGAUACUGUAUCCUGAGGAACAGCACCCAUAACCAUGCAUAAACACACCACAGUUCACAGUCCCUCCUGCUGUUUUAUAUGCACACAACACGGUUGACUAAUAAAGGUUCUAAAAGCAAAUGCCAUUGAUGUCUAACUAUAUUGAAGUUAGACUAGGAAAUGGCUUUUCUCAUGAUGGGCAUACCCCUGUGAUUCCUAUGAUUUUAUUUGUAGCUUUAAAAAAUAAUAGUUUCAGAUAUGAUUCCAUGUAUCCAUAUCUUCUAAGUUCAGAGAGGAAAUUGGCUUAUGUCUGUAUUAAGGUUGGAUGUUUCUUUGGACACCUGUUCAUUUCCUUCUGUGGUAUUAAAGUUUUAAACUCUGUCUACAAGUUUCAAUUUUUAAUUAGCUUUUAAUUUCAAAUAGUGUUUUAACUACACCCACCCCUCUCCCAACUCCUCCUAGACCCACCCAUUUGUCCGUACCCACCAAACUUUGUGUCCAAUUUAUUUUUUUAAACCCAAUUUGAGAGGCUCAUGAGUUAAAUUUCUUUCAGCACAGGGAUUACAAACACACAUGACCAUGCCUGUUAUUUGGUUUUUCACAUAGUGCGUGCACGUGUGUGUGUGUGUAUGUGUAUGAAACUCAGGCUGUCAGUCUUUCAUGGCAAGUGGUUUGCCAACUGCACCCUGAAUCCUUGACAAUUUGGCCUGAGAGUGGUGAGCUUAGCAGGGAUUACACUACUAAAGAGGACCGUGUUUCUUUCUCAGCAGUUACCAGAUGCCAAUAGCUCCUCGACAGGGUGGGAUUUAGCCCCAGGGUGGAUUUAGCCUGGUUAUGGCUUGCACAGAUCUCCUGCACAGUAUGUCCCAACUUUUGUGAGGUCAUACAUGCAGUGCCCUGUUCUGUCAGAAGAUACUAUUUCCUUGCAGUCAUGUGUCACUUGGCCCAAACCCCUUUCUGCCCUCUCUGACGUCAUCUCUUAAACUUGGCGGCGGGGGGGGGGGGGGGGGGGGGGAGAAGGGUAUGCUAUAGAUGUCCAUCUGGAGCCGAGCAUUCUGCAAGUGUGCUCCUUGACGAGUUGUGGGGCUCUGUUAGUCACCAGCCACUGCAAAUAGCUUCUUUCCUGAGGGCUGAGAGAUGCACUGAGCUAUCUGUAUAGUGUUAAGUUCUUAGGAGCAUCUGGUUAAUGCUGUGUCCACUUAGUAGAUGCCAUCUAAGUUCUGGGACUUGUCUAGCCAAGCACUUCCAUCUGUAUACUGGGAAGUGGAGGACUGACAUUUCUAGGAUUUGCUGUGAGAAAACCCUUCUGAAAAUCCUUUACAGAGAACAGAAGGUGAUUUUAAGCCCUAGCCUUGCUUAGCAGUGUAUACUACUAUACAUCCUUAAGUAAUGGUGAUGUUGACACAUGUAUAUAACUAAAGACUUCGCCAAAUGCAUUGUGGGUAGAUGGGCGGUGGGACUUGUCUUUAGCAGUGUGCACUUACACAUCCUCUUCACUGAGUAAUAUUCUGCUGGCUGGUGUGCUACAGUCCCCCCUUCCAGUCACCUACUGAAUGUCACGCUUAGGUAGUUACAGUAAAGCAGCUGUGAACAAGAACUUUUGGUGUGGACACAAAAGUUUAUUUGGAAAAUACCAAGAGGCACAAGUGCCAGGUUGUUUGUUAAGAAAUUGUUUUUAGUUCCUUUAAUUAUUUCCUUUAACAGUCACAAUAUGUAAUUACAAUCACAGUAUAAUUACAUCAUUUUAUGACGUGGCCAAGCUGUCUUCCAAAGUUGCUGUACAGUUUUCUGUUUCCUCUAACAGUGAAGGAAGUUCCUGUCGCUCUCCAACCUCGCCAGCACUUGGUAUUGUCAGCGCAUUACAGUCCAUUGUAUUCUGUAUGCUUCCAUUGGUUAUUAUAUACACAUUAACAUCACAGUUCAAUGCUGUCCAUAGACUUUGACAUGCAUAUUAUUUUUCUCUUUUGCUGCUCGUUAAGCUGUCAUAAAAAUCUUUAAUAAAAUCUAGAGGUGGAGUUAUACUAUCCUAAUGUACAAAGGUAUUUAAAAAGUUUCAUUAUUAUUAUUAUUAUUUUCCUUCAUGGUGCUGAGAAUUGAACCCAAGGUUUGUGCAUGGGAGGCAAACAUUUUGACACUGACCUACAUUCCCCAGCUUCAAAGUAUUAGCAUUACUGAGAUAAUUUUUGAUUUUGAAGUAAUUUGGAAAGAUAAUUGUUAUUUUCCUAUCUUUGAAUUUGCUUUAUAAUUGGUGAUAAUGUUACCUUGAAUAAAUACAAUAUAAAAUUUAAUGAGAACUUCAGUAAAGACAAUGAUUUCAAAUGUGAGCCAAUAAUUUAAAAAAAAUUUAGUGUAAUAUAAUGUAGUGAAAUUUUGUUCUACAAUAUAGUUGAAGAAAAGACAUUUAAAUAAUGCUUAAAUUGAUUAAAAGUAGUCAACAUGGGUAUUCUGAAAUAUUGGAUCAGUGUUUGUAUACACUAGGGCAUAAACCUACCAUGGUUAACUUCAAAAGUGAAUGGGGCCUUAUAAAUUUAUAUAGUCUGUUCCUUUUAAAAAAUAUUUCAUGUUAAGAAAAUCAGGCUGGGUUAAAUCGUUUUUUGUUUUUGUUUUUUGUUUUUUUUUUUGAGACAGGGUUUCUCUGUAUAGCCCAGGCUGGCCUGGAACUCACUCUGUAGACCAGGCUGGCCUGGAACUCAGAAAUCCUCCUGCCUCUGCCUCCUGAGUGCUGGGAUUAAAGGCAUGCGCCACCAUGCCCAGUUUAAAUCGUCUUUUAUGCUACUUAAGAGUACUUGGUUAGUCAUUAUACUUUAGCUGUUAAAAAUUGUUUUCAUGAAGUCAUUCUUUUGUAAAACUGACCCAUGAGAACUCAGGAGAAAAACACUACCUCCAUCUUUUUGGUAAAGUCCUGUUAAAUGUCUGUCUGUAGCUGGUGCCAUGGUGUCUUUAGUUGUUGCUUGGAUGUAGUGUGUUGGUGGUGUCAGCACAGCUGCCAGGGGCCUCCUGGGUAGCAGGUUAGCAGUACUUGUUCAAUCUCAACGCACACUGUGGUCUACAACAGUCUAGCAACAAGUAGGAUUUGUUUUCUCAGUCUGGAGAGGGUGGUUAAUUACCAGCUAGUGGUGUCCUUUUUGGUGAGAAAACCAUGUAGGUAUCAUUGGCUCUAAAUGUAUAGCUACAAGUUCUUAAUAAAGUAGUUAUUCUAGGACGUUUUGCCUUUGCUUGAAUUCUUUAAUGACUUCCUUCUCUUCCUGUUGACCUCAUUUCAAAGUUGAAGUUAACUUUAGAAUGUCACAGGAUAGCAAUACUCAAUAUUUCACACAGUAUGAUAUAGAUUUUUUUUUACCUGAUAUUGUCAGAUACUAUUUUAUUAAUACUUUGUUGUUGUUUUUUUCCCUGUAGCAGCAACAGUGUAUACAGUUUCAGUAAUUUGGCCAAGUCUUUUACUCACAAGUCAUUUGAUCCUUUAUAUUUCGAAGUUUAGGGUCACUAUUUGACAGGAAGAAGAAAGCAGUUGUCUUACUUUUUAAAAAAGAUUUAUUUAUUUCUUAUUAUAUGUAUGUACACCGUAGCUGUCUUCAGACGCUCCAGAAGAGGGCAUCAGAUCUAAUUAUGGGUGGUUGUGAGCCACCAUGUGGUUGCUGGGGUUUGAACUCAGGACCUUUGGAAGAGCAGUCAGUGCACUUAACCGCUGAGCCAUCUGACCAGCCCCUUGCCUUACUUUCUAUUGCUGUGAUGAACACCAUGACCGCAGGAACACACAGAUGACGGGGUGCAUUUGGGAUCAUGGCUCUGGGUCAGAGUUGACGAUGAGGAAGUGGAGGCAGCACAUGCAGCAGUGGCAGCUGGAGAAGCAGCUUGAGCUCCAACCUCAUUGCACAGACAGGGAGCAGAGGGGGACAAGGAGGGAGGGUGGGUAGGUGGGAGGGAGGGAGGGAGGGACAGAGACAGACAGAGAGACAGACAGAGAGUGCGAGAGCUCACAUACUAGGAUCCGCAGGUGCAGGCAGCUUUGAACUCCAGUAACAGACUUCUUCCAGCAUGGUUGCACCUCCUAACACUAACCAAACAGCACUACCAACUGGGACUGAUCUUAAGCACACAAGCCAACAUGGAUGGGGCAUAUCUCAUGAGUCUUAGCAUCUAGAUCAGUGGUUCUCAACCUUCUUACGCUGUGACAGUUUCUUAAGUUGUAUUUUUUGACUUAAAGCUAUAAAGUUAUUUUGUUGCUCCUUCACAGCUAAUUUUGCUACUGUUAUUAAUCAUAAUGUAAAUAUCUGACAUGCUGGAUAUCUGAUAUUCGAUCUUAAUAAAAGGAUCUUUCAACCCCAGAAGGGGUUGUGACUACAGGUUGAGAACCACUGCUCUAGAGGACGAGCUAUAGGCAAUUGGUUGCUAAGUGUGGGAGAAUCAGUAGUGUUGGACAGGGAUGAGCCCUUGAUAGGUUAACCAAUUAGGAAGAUCAGUUGCUAAAAGUAUUUGAACAACACUAAAUGAUCUCAGCAGCUUGUGUUUACAAAUUUGAUAUGCAUGCAUAUAUAUGUGUUACACACACACACACACACACACACACACACACACACACACAUGCGUCCAUUGUGGUAGUUUGGCCUUAUUGGAGGAUGUAUGCUACCUUUGAAGUGUCAAGCCUAUGCCAGGGUUAUUCUCUCUUCCCCUGACCCCCACCUGUGGAUCAGGAUGUAGCUCACAGCAACUGCUCUAGCACUAUGUGUGCCAACAUGCUCCCUGCCAUAAUGGACUGAACCUGAAACAGUUAGCAAGCUCACAGUUAAAUGCUGUCUUGGGUAAAAGUUGCUUUGGUCAUGGUGUCUGUCCUCAGCAACAGAACAGUGACUAAGACAUAUAUGUACAUGUACCAAUUACAAUUAAAGAUUAAGAAACUAUGAAUUUGAAAAGGAGUGGGAGGGACACAGGGACUGGAGGGAGGGAGAGAAUGGUGUAAAUAUGUGAAAUUCUCAAAAAAAAAAAUUCUGUCUACAUCCACUUAUGGGGGAGACAGGAGGGUCCAAGGAGCUUGCUGUUUACGUGGUCUAGGCAAGUCAGUGACUUCAGACUCAUCAGGUUCUGUCUCAAAAGAGGUGAAAAGACAGACAGUGUCCACAUUUGUCCUACACAGGCAUACAGAUAUACACACCUGCACAUGUAUGUGGACACACACACGUGCCAUACACAUAUACAAUCAUAGUAAAUAAAAAUUAAGACAAUGAAAGCAAAUUGAUAUUGUAAGAAGAUAAAUGUUCUUUAUUUUUGCAGAGAAUUAAAUCUUCAGCAGACAUUUGAUAUUGCAUGGCAUAAAGUGUCUUUAACAUCUGUCAGUGGUGACUGGUACUUUGAUUUUAUGACUGUUAAUGCUGAGAAUGUGACGUCACAUGUAUGGUACAAACACACAGUAGAAAUACAGUUAGGGCCAUUCCAGGAGUUGUUGGAAAUUGUUUAAUAAUGCUAAGCCAAAUUUUAUUUAACAAUUUUUAAAUGAAAUUAAAGGAAGAAACUGAAAUACCAGUUCUUAAAACCAAACAUUCCAACACAUGAAAUCCAAAGAUUAACCAACUUGAUACGUGAUGAGAAGUGAUGCUUAGGAAAUGGAAAAAGCCUUUGUUUUAUAAUUCAAAUAUGUUUCUAAGAAGGUAGAAGACUUUGUAUGCACAUAAGAACACUUUGAUUCACAACAGGAAAGUCUGGCUGGAAUCAGGUCUGAGUUGUUCAAGGAAGUGUUUGUUGGCACAGACUGCUGUGUGAUGUGUGGAGAUGCUCAGAACCAAGCCUGCAGUGAGGCCGCGGGGGACAGCGAGGCCAGCACUGGAACUACUGGGUUUGGGGCUGAAAUACCUGAAACAAAGUCAGCUAUAGGAGAGUCCUAAGGUCUCAUGAGCAGUAAUGUGUCAUCAUCAGUGCUCUGGAUGUGAUCUGCACGCCGUUCUCUUAGUGUAGCAUGUGUAGCAAGCAGAUCGUGACAGUGCUUGUAUUUUGGGAUUGCCCAGUAAGUAGGAGCCUGAGGAUUGUCUUCACUUUAACCCAGAGUGAGUGCUGUUUUCAAGGGUAGCCUCUAGUGUCUUUAGGGCAUAGAGCUUACCCAGAGAUUGGAUAGGAGGUUUCAGUGUUUGUUUAAAUAAUAAACCAUGUGCAUCCAUGUGCAUGUGGUCCACAAUACACAUCUGGGGUCAGAGGAGAACAACUCGUUGAUCCAGGUGGAUUCUAGGGUCAGAACUCAGGUCAUCAAGUGCCUUUACUGUCUGAGUACUCUUGGUGGCCUGGGAUGGAAGUUGUAUUUAAAUUCUAUGAGCAACUGUAUUUCUACAGUUGUUGAUUAUUUCUUAAUUAAUUCUUAUUGUUUUAUCUUUGCUCCUUGCAGUUUUCCAGAGUUGUUUUUAAAUGUGUCAUUUUUAACUUGCCUAUCUCAGGAGGCAAGUGUUUUCUGUUUCUAGGCACACCUAACCGUGUGUUGUUUGCUUCAAUUCCCAGCAUGAGACAGCAGCAAAGCAACUUUUUUGUGUGCAUCUAACUUACCUGUCUAUCUAAUGAAAGACUUUCAUUUGUGUUGUUUCCUGGGCCACCUGAUGUGGAGAAUAGGAGAAGCAGACAUUUUUAGUAUGACUUUUAAGAAAAGCUUGGUUUUAGCAUUUAUUGUGUGGUUUCACAGUUUUUGACACUCCAAGUCUGUUUUUUAGCCAACUGUUAAUGGUGAGGAAGUUUAAAAGACAAUGUUAGAACCUGGAUUUCUAACUUUUCACACCUCCUUAACACCAGGUGGCAAGUGCUAUUAAACAUUUGAUCAGGCUGAUCUAGUUUCACUGCUAAUAACUGCUACAGUCCCAUGAGUAGCCGUUUGGUGGCUGCCAAAUGCCUCCUGAGAAGCCUCAGCUGGCUGUAAUCUGACAAACUAUUGGCAUUUUAUCACCCAGGAGUGACAUUUGGACACUGGUCUGUGUCUUUGGUCAAGCUGGGGUUAUGUAGUGGCUGAGGAAGGGACGUGGCUUUCUUUACAAGUAUUUGAAUGACAUAAGAUAAUUUAGUCUUUUUAAGAAUAAUUAAACACAAAUAUGUAAAUUAAGUUUUGCUCUCCUAAGCCUCCUCCCCUGCUCUGUGACUCAGCUCUUUGUGUAUGGAUAGCCAGUCUUUGCUGCUUGGAGGCUUCGUGGGGCAGGGGGAGGACAGGGUCCCUCCUGUGGUUCUGAGGAAGAUGGGAGGUGGAGCAUUCCUUGGGGUGAUUCAGAGCUCUUGGUAGAAGGAAGCGGGAGUGGGAUGGUCACAAGUUGGUAUCCUUUGGCAGUAUUCUUUGAAGACUUAGUGUGUGGGGUCUGGAAGGCAUCAAUCAGGAAUGAAAAAGCAAGUUAAAACAAAAAUGGAGAAAUGUUAUGCUCUAUUUCUUGAAAUAUCUGUCUUCAGACAGUGCCUUUCAUCACAGGACCCUUCUUCCAGAAUGCUGCUGGCUAGUUUUAUGUUAGCACUCUACGUGUAUGAAUAUCUGCUCCAUGUAGGAGCUCAGAAAUCGGCUCAGACAUUUUUAUCAGAGAUAAGAUGGGAAAAAAACAUCACAUUGGGGGAGCCGCCCGGAUUCUUACAUUCUUGGUGGUGUGUAUUUUGGGAUCUCUACUGUGCAGCUCCAGAGAGACGGGAAACCUGUGAACACUCGAGCGAAGCUAAAGCCUUCCAUGAUUAUAGUGCUGCAGCAGCUCCCAGCCCCGUGCUAGGAAACAUGCCCCCAGGAGAUGGCAUGCCAGUAGGUCCCGUGCCACCAGGGUUCUUUCAGCCUUUUAUGUCGCCUCGGUACCCUGGCGGCCCGAGGCCCCCAUUGAGGAUACCUAACCAGGCACUUGGAGGUGUCCCAGGAAGUCAGCCAUUACUCCCCAGUGGAAUGGAUCCAACACGACAACAAGGACAUCCAAAUAUGGGUGGACCAAUGCAGAGAAUGACUCCCCCAAGAGGAAUGGUGCCCUUAGGACCACAGUCUGACCCUUGGUUAUCAUUACAGAACUAUGGAGGUGCAAUGAGACCCCCACUGAAUGCUUUAGGUGGCCCUGGAAUGCCUGGAAUGAACAUGGGUCCAGGUGGUGGUAGACCUUGGCCAAACCCAACAAAUGCGAAUUCAAUACCCUACUCCUCAGCGUCUCCUGGGAAUUACGUAGGUCCUCCGGGAGGUGGAGGACCACCAGGAACACCCAUCAUGCCUAGUCCAGCAGAUUCAACUAAUUCUGGAGACAACAUGUAUACUUUAAUGAAUGCAGUACCUCCUGGGCCUAACAGACCUAAUUUUCCAAUGGGCCCUGGAUCAGAUGGUCCUAUGGGUGGAUUAGGAGGAAUGGAGUCCCAUCACAUGAACGGCUCUUUAGGCUCAGGAGAUAUGGACAGUAUUUCCAAGAUGGUGCUGCUGCUGCUGCUGCUGCCAUCGCCGCUGCUGUACAUUCGAUGUUUGAAACACUACAAUGCAGGAGGGAAAUGAAAACCUUCAACAAUGACUUCUUUUCUGAACCUUAUUUACAGAAUUCUCCCAAUAAUAUGAGCCUGAGUAACCAGCCGGGCACUCCAAGGGAUGACGGUGAAAUGGGGGGAAAUUUCUUAAAUCCUUUUCAGAGUGAGAGUUACUCCCCCAGCAUGACCAUGAGCGUGUGAUCCGUUGCCGCGUCUCUCAUGAAAACCAUCGUGAGUCAGCCCAUCACAGAACUACUACAGAAGAAAACUACUCGUCGUGUACAGUUAGACAAAGGAAUCUCAGACAACCAGACCACCUUUUAGUUCCUGCUCUCUCCCCUAUUUUGAGAAGAAAGCGGGUCCAAAUGUGAUUCAAGCAACUGUACGGAGCGGCACAUUAGCAUUGCCCCCAACUGAACUGCGAUGAUUAUCUGUGUGUAUGUGUGGGAAGAGAAUGCAUCGUAUAUGCAGAUCUGUAUGCACAUAUACGCAUACGUGCAUUGACCCACAGGACAUUGUAAGAUAGUAUCACAUGACAUCUUAAGUAGAAGUAAGUAGGACUUUUAUGCCAUCCUUUUUUUCACGUUUACACUUUAAUUAUUAAAGGUUGCUCCUGCCCUUCCCCAACUAUUUUGUGCUGUGUACAUCACUGCUUUAUAUAAGUUAUUUUUUAAGGUGAACUCAGAUGUUAUGGUUUUGUAAAUGUCUGCAAUCAUGGAUAGGAAUAAAAUUGCUUAUUUGAGAGCUUUCAUUCACUGUGUCUGAAGCAAGUUGCCCGUGAGCCCCAGGUUGUACCAAGUAGAGACAGUGACUUCAUCCUCAUGUCCAACCAGGCACCCAGUUACCUUCUGUGCAAAGUAGUGUGGUGCUUUGUAUAUAAGGAAACCCCUCAACAGUAGCUCAGCCAGGGCUUCAUACAGUACACUUCUGCAAUAACUGCUUUAAAUUGAGUUCUUUCUUGAUUUGUGUGUCUUAGAUGAUGCAGAACUCAUUAGCUAACUCAAAUGACUUAAACUGUAGCAAUAAAGUGACAUGGGUUAUCAUACUUUUAGCACACAUUCUCUCUUAAACACGAUAAAAUCCAAAAGUGAUAACAAAACCACUUGUUUGAACUUACAGCGUCUCCCAGGGAACUAGAAGUAAAUGUCUAAUAAGACACAGCGAGAAAUGGUGUUGUAUGUUUAUUCAGAUUUCCUAUGAUCAUUUCUACAGACACUUGAAAACAGACAGACACACUGACAUGAUUCAGGUUUUCAGCCCAGAGAGCAGAGAAUGAGGAAACUAGAGGAUUCUGCAGCGUUUCUGGUUUCACCCACCCAGUAGCUUGCUUGCUGGAGCAGAACUGAUGGGUACCUGUCUGUUCUGUUGUCCCUGCUCUCAGGUGGCAGUUCCAUGCCCUGUCUGCUCUGUCCUGGGUCAGAGGGCUUGCACUGGGAGGCAGAUUAUCUGUGUAGCUUAUGUUCACUGCAGCUGGCUAGAUCUCCAUUUUGUGUCUGACAGUUCAGAAGGGAGUAAAGAAACAGUUUUAAUUAUCUCCCUUAUGAAAGCACCCUGCUUGCAUGACACUUCCCAGAUCUUUGGGAUUCCGUUUAAUCCUAUAUCCAAACACCAAAUCCUAAUAGGAAAAGCAUAGAGAGUUUAUUUUAUAAUUGAAAAGACAGCUCUGCAACCCUUGCUGUUCUAACUGAGAUACAAACAACCACUGAUCUCUACCCUGCUAGAGGGUAUUGCCCGGGCUUAGGGGCGAGGAUUCUCCCUUUCCUGUGGGACUGUAACAUAACUGAAAACGUUGACACUGUUUGCCUGCUGUUGGUUCUGGACAAUUGAUUUCUCUCAGAUCCACAUUGAUUCAUCCUUUCUGAAAAUGGAAAAUGUUAGCUGGGCAUUCCAGGGAUGCUGGGAGCAUAGAGGAUAAAAAAGAUGAAGUAGCUUUACACUGCAGAUCUAGAGGACAGUAUAUGAGUCAUACUUUAUAAAGUACAGCGUCAGCCUACAACUGUACCAGAGAGCAGCCUUGUACUAGCCAGCUACAGGAACCUGUCACAGGCAGUUCACACAGGAAGUCCAUUUCCCCCCAGUCACUAGUGGCCACUUCCUUCUCUCUGACUGUACAGAGUUGAACUGUGUUCAGUGGGCUCGGUCUCCCAGCGCUUCCUUUCCUCAUCUGCUCUCCAUCUCGCCUGGCCUUCGUCUCUGUCAUUCAUCUUCUGAGAAGGGAAGCAAAUGAUUCCUACCACUCGCAGAAGUCAUGAGCCUAAUUUUACUUGGGAAUCUUAGAAUAUAAAUGACACAAAUGGCAUUUUAACAGUGGUUGAUAGAGUAGCAUCAUGUGUGCUUCUAACCUGUUUUGUUUUUUAAAAAAGUAAAAUGGUUUUGUUUUUGUUUUCA